rnacentral:RNase_P_RNA from 2 species
AAAGCGGACCAGGCAACCGCUGCCGCGCAAGUGGGAGAGGAAAGUCCGGGCUCCACAGAGCAGGAUGCCGGUUAACGACCGGACGCCGCGAGGCGAGGAACAGGGCCACAGAGACGAGUAAGCCCGGCGCGAGCCGGGUGGACGUGAAACGCGGUAACCUCCAUCCGGAGCAACACCAAAUAGGCAGACGAUGACGCGGCUCGCCGAGUCUGCGGGUAGGUGGCUUGAGCCGGCCAGCAAUGGCCGGCCUAGAGGAAUGGUUGCCCACGACAGAACCCGGCUUAUCGGCCCGCUUUUCCA